rnacentral:rRNA from 1 species
AUUGAACGCUGGCGGCAGGCUUAACACAUGCAAGUCGAGCGGGGGAAGGUAGCUUGCUACCGGACCUAGCGGCGGACGGGUGAGUAAUGCUUAGGAAUCUGCCUAUUAGUGGGGGACAACAUCUCGAAAGGGAUGCUAAUACCGCAUACGUCCUACGGGAGAAAGCAGGGGAUCUUCGGACCUUGCGCUAAUAGAUGAGCCUAAGUCGGAUUAGCUAGUUGGUGGGGUAAAGGCCUACCAAGGCGACGAUCUGUAGCGGGUCUGAGAGGAUGAUCCGCCACAGUGGGACUGAGACACGGCCCGGAUCCCUCCGGGGGGCAGCAGUGGGGAAAAUUGGACAAUGGGGGGAACCCUGAUCCAGCCAUGCCGCGUGUGUGAAGAAGGCCUUAUGGUUGUAAAGCACUUUAAGCGAGGAGGAGGCUACUCUAGUUAAUACCUAGGGAUAGUGGACGUUACUCGCAGAAUAAGCACCGGCUAACUCUGUGCCAGCAGCCGCCGCCG